rnacentral:rRNA from 1 species
AACGAACGCUGGCGGCAGGCCUAACACAUGCAAGUCGAACGAGAAGCCACCUUCGGGUGGUGGACAGUGGCAGACGGGUGAGUAACGCGUGGGAACGUGCCUUUCGGUUCGGGAUAACCCAGGGAAACUUGGGCUAAUACCGGAUACGCCCUCCGGGGGAAAGAUUCAUCGCCGAAAGAUCGGCCCGCGUCGGCUUGGCUAGUUGGUAGGGUAAUGGCCUACCAAGGCGACGAUCCGUAGCUGGUCUGAGAGGAUGACCAGCCACACUGGGGCUGAGACACGGCCCAGACUCCUACGGGAGGCAGCAGUGGGGAAUAUUGGACAAUGGGCGAAAGCCUGAUCCAGCCAUGCCGCGUGGGUGAAGAAGGCCUUAGGGUUGUAAACCCCUUUCAGCGGGGAAGAUAAUGACGGUACCCGCAGAAGAAGUCCCGGCUAACUCCGUGCCAGCCGCCGCCGUAA